CGACAGGAUUAAUUCUAUUCCUGGAGGGCCCAGUGGAGCAGGGCCAUUUGGGACGCCAGGAAGGUAGAAGGAGCACCGCUGCCAGGGCAUGUGGUGUCCCGGAAGAUGGCCAAGGCAGGCUGCCCAGAGUGGAAAGGAUGGCAACACGUGCCAGGCUGGGAUAGUGACUUGAAGAUGAGGAGCCUGGGCUGGGCGGGCCGCAGGCGGCAGGGAAGGCCCCACAUCGAGGGUUGCAAUCUUGUCAUCCAUAACUCUUAUAAGAAUGAGCCCUGGCCUGGAAGAGAGGCCAAAUGUCUAAUCAGCAGGCCUGGAACACCGCCGGUGCCAAGAAAGAGCCAAGCAGCCACUCCCUGGGGCUGGCUGCAGAUGAGGCCCUUGUGGUUUCCCCACUCACUGACUACGGGGAGGAGGGUGUGCAAGGACUUUGUCUGGGAAGAAUCUUUGCAUCUGUAGCUCAACAGGCUUCUCUCUCCAGGCCCCUGGGUUUCAAAAGACUGUGACUUCCACCUUGGUUUGCUCGGUCUGAUGAAGGAACUUUGAGCUGUGAGCUGCACUGUGAACUUUGCUGUGAGCUGCCCUGUGAUGGGAGAGGAGGCCUCCGCCUCACAGCCCUGGAGGACCUCAAUGCUGCCAACGUGUGACCAGAUGCAGAUCCUUCUCCAGUCAAGCCUGGACAUGACAUGACAGCAGCCCUGGGGACCUUGAUGCUGUGGCCUGUGCAAGACCCUGAGCCAGCCGCACCCAGAUCCCUCACCCACAGAAACUGCCAGAUUUUAAGUCUUCUGCUUCUGCAAGAUGAGUCACGGUUCUACUUCCCCUGGAAGGGCAGAAGUUGCAUAAGAUUGUUGAGGCUCAAGCGAGAUAAUGUGUGAGGCUGUUACUCCAGACUAGAGCCUUGAUUUUUAAACUUCAGCGUGCAUCAGAAUCGCCUGGAAGGUUUGUUAGAACCCCGCCCCCAGAGUUUCUCCUUCAGGGGGUCCAGGGUGGGCCUGAGAGUUUCUGAAGUGUUCCCAGGGGUUGCCGAUGCUGCUAGUCCAGGCACUAUAUUUAGGGAACCCCCGUCCUAAAGCCUCACCAAUUGAAUCUCCUAAGAUGAUGAAGAUGGCCUACAUCUGUGCUGUCCUAAACGGUAGCCAACAGCCACACGUGGCUACUGAGAACUCGGAGUGUGGCUAGCACGCCUGAGGACCCGAAUUUAAAAAACAGUUAAUUUUAAUUAACUUAAAUUUAAAUAGCCACGUAUGGUUGGUGGCCAGCGUUUUGGACAGUGUUGUUCUAGAGCUCAUCUGAGUUUGCAGAUGAAGAAACCGAGGCUUUGAGAGGUACCUCCCCUCCCUUGGAGUCUCAUGGCAAUCCUGGGGUGGUGCUCCGGCUGGCUGGCCUUCUUGAACAGGUCCUGUGAUAUGGGAACAUUUGAGUGCUUUGGGGGUGUCUUUGUUGCUUUGAGUUCCAGGUAGCUGAAAGGAGUGGGCUGGAAGGGGACGGGGAGACCCAUUUGCUGGCUCAUGACAAAGAUGAGAGCUGCAGACACAGCGCACAGCGGCAGGAAAAGGCUAAAUGAAAGAGGAUCAUCAGAGCGAAUCACGCUACUGCUCAGAAUGACCAGCUCUUCGGGAUUGAAGAAAGCUUCCUUCAUCCUGUCCUUGGCCUCCGUGGUCAAAGAGCUUCAGGGGCCUUGCUGACCUCCUUCCUCUCCAUUUUGCUGUGCCCUCUCACUGUCCCUGAACUUGAGAUCCUGGAGGUUUAGCUGUGCUCUGGGUCCCUUGAAGACUUCGGAGGCAAUCCACUAAGAAAUGGGGAUUUAAGUGAGACAUGAAGAAGAACUUCCUUAUGGCAAGAACUAUAAGAUGUUGAAGACAAGACACAGUAUUGGGAGUAAAGGCGGUGAGGCACGGAAAUAUAUUUACCAACACCCAGGGAACCGAGUCUUCUCCCCCAGGAUCCCUGCUCUGCUCGUUCAGGGCAGGAAUCCCAGCCAGCACAAGGCCCAGGGCUGCUGAGUGAACUCACUAGCUAGCUAGUCACUGAGCAACAGAGUCUGGAGUCUGGGUCCCCUGAUGCCCAGUCUUGAGCUCUUUCAUGUCCUCCAUUCCUCACUCAGUUGACACGAAGGCACUGGGGCCUGAAGGACACGGAACAGGUGAGGCCAGUCCCCCUGCUUGAACAGCUCUGUGUAGGAAAGGAGAUGACUCCCUCUCCCCUCUCCCCUCUCCCCACGGUCUCCCUCUCCCUCUCUUUCCCCGGUCUCCCUCUGAUGCCGAGCCGAAGCUGGACUGUACUGCUGCCAUCUCGGCUCACUGCAACCUCCCUGCCUGAUUCUCCUGCCUCAGCCUGCCAAGUGCCUGCGAUUGCAGGCGUGCGCCGCCACGCCUGACUGGUUUUCAUAUUUUUUUGGUGGAGACGGGGUUUCGCUGUGUUGGCCGGGCUGGUCUCCAGCUCCUAACCGCGAGUGAUCCGCCA
rnacentral:lncRNA from 10 species